rnacentral:misc_RNA from 1 species
GAUGAAGAACGUAGCGAAAUGCGAUAAGUAAUGUGAAUUGCAGAAUUCCGUGAAUCAUCGAAUUUUUGAACGCACAUUGCGCCCGCUGGUAUUCCGGCGGGCAUGCCUGUUCGAGCGUCAUUUCAACCCUCAAGCCCCCGGGUUUGGUGUUGGGGAUCGGCUCUGCCCUUCUGGGCGGUGCCGCCCCCGAAAUACAUUGGCGGUCUCGCUGCAGCCUCCAUUGCGUAGUAGCUAACACCUCGCAACUGGAACGCGGCGCGGCCAUGCCGUAAAACCCCAACUUCUGAAUGUUGACCUCGGAUCAGGUAGGAAUACCCGCUGAACUUAAGCAUAUCAAUAAGCGGAGGA